GGGUGAGAGGGAGAAACCUGCCGCCGCUCGCCGCCUCUUUGUCUGCUCCGGGACUUGGAACAAAAGGGGGAACUCUGAUGAACUCUCUUUCCUCCCCUCUCCCCCGGACGCCGGGGUAUCUCCCUCUCGCAACUUUGCCGCCCCGACUUUCUCUGCUGUCAGGCCGGGAAAAAGUGUCCGAACGCCUCGUGGACUGCAGCGGGGGAAAUGUCCCUUAAAAGUGCGACGAAGUGGGGAAGAAGGUGUAAUUACUAUUAUCAGCAUCUAGAAAGCAUCAUGAAUUUGCUGGAGUACUUCCUAGCACUGACCUCCUUCAUUCUGCGUUGUUCUUACUGGAUCUUUCCAUCAGCCAACAAUAUGGAAGUACCAAUACAAGGUCAAAUCAUUCCUGGAUUCAUCUGGAGUUGCUUAAAAGUUAAAUCAUUGGAAUUUUUGAUGAUACCUUUUCUAUAUGGAUUACAAUUUGAUCGCUGGGAAUUCUCCACCUUAAAGAAGGUCUGUAAUAUAGCAAUAUGCAUUGCCUUCUGAGUGAUUAUUUAGUUCAAGGAAGAGUAUAUUCAUUUUAUCUUUAGGAAGUUUCAGAUAGGAAUGUUAAGGUAUUAUUUCUCAUUUGUAAUUUACUAGCAGAUAUUUGCCUAGAUAUGAUAAUGUUAGGAAUAAAAAUAUGGAAUUAAUCAAUAUUAAAAUAGGAAAAUAUCUUUUUUUAAUAUGUUUCCAAAACUUUGUUGAAAGCAUUCAUUUUAAUUAGCAGAUUAUAUAUCAAUAUAGCAACUACUAAUAUAAUACUUUGUAAUUACAGAGUUUAAAAUAAUACAUUCAUUUAAAAAUGUC
rnacentral:lncRNA from 1 species